GGUUCGAUUAUGGCUCAGAUUGAACGCUGGCGGGAUGCUUUACACACAAGUCGAACGGCAGCACGGACUUCGGUCUGGUGGCGAGUGGCGAACGGGUGAGUACGUGCAUCGGAACGUGCCUAGCGGGGAUACAUGAAAGCGUAGCUAAUACCGCAUACGCCCUUCGGGGGAAAGCGGGGACCUUCGGGCCUCGCACUAUUAGAUGGCCAGAUAUCGGAUUAGCUAGUUGGUGGGUAACGGCCCACUGAAGGCGACGAUCCGUAGCUGGUUUGAGCGGACGACCAGCCACACUGGGACUGAGACACGGCCCAGACUCCUACGGGAGGCGCAGUGGGGAAUUUUUGGACAAUGGGGGAACCCUGGAUCCAGCCAUCCCGCGUGCGAUGAAGGCCUUCGGGUUGUAAAGCACUUUUUGGCAGGAAAGAAACGGCACGGGAUAAUACCCCGUGCAACUGACGGUACCUGCAGAAUUCCACCGGCUAACCACGCCAGCAGCCGCGGUAAUACGUAGGGUGCAAGCGUUAAUCGGAAUUACUGGGCGUAAAGCGUGCGUGCAGGCGGUUCGGAAAGAAAGAUGUGAAAUCCCAGAGCUUAACUUUGGAACUGCAUUUUUAACUACCGAGCUAGAGUGUGUCAGAGGGAGGUGAAUUCCGCGUAGCAGUGAAAUGCGUAGAUAUGCGGAGGAACACCGAUGGCGAAGGCAGCCUCCUGGGAUAACACUGACACUCAUGCACGAAAGCGUGGGGAGCAAACAGGAUUAGAUACCCUGGUAGUCCACGCCCUAAACGAUGUCAACUAGUUGCUGGGGCCUUCGGGCCUUGGUAGCGCAGCUAACGCGUGAAGUUGACCGCCUGGGGAGUACGGUCGCAAGAUUAAAACUCAAAGGAAUUGACGGGGACCCGCACAAGCGGUGGAUGAUGUGGAUUAAUUCGAUGCAACGCGAAAAACCUUACCUACCCUUGACGUGUCUGGAAUCCCGAAGAGAUUUGGGAGUGCUCGCAAGAGAACCGGAACACAGGUGCCGCAUGGCUGUCGUCAGCUCGUGGUCAGGAGAUGUUGGGUUAAGUCCUGCAACGAGCGCAACCUCGUCAUUAGUUGCUACGAAAGGGCACUCCCAUCGAGACUGCCGGUGACAACCGGAGGAACGGGUGAUUAACGCCCGUCCCUCGCGCGGCCCCGAAGCAGUAGGGCUUCACACGUCAUACAAUGGUCGGGACAGAGGCAGCCCGCGCCAACCGCGAGGGGGAGCCAAUCCCAGAAACCCGAUCAAACUGAUCGUAGUCCCGGUAACUCGACUGCGUGAAGUCGGAAUCGCUAGUAAUCGCGGAUCAGCAUGUCGCGUGGUGAAUACGUUCCCGUGGGUCUUGGACACACCGCCCGUCACACCAUACAGCAGAUGCCACCGAUGGAAACAGAAGAAUAACUUCCGUAAGGAGGGCGAUUACCACGGUAGGAUUCAUGACUGGGUGAAGUCGUAACAAGGUAAC
rnacentral:rRNA from 1 species